GAAAGGGAGUUUGGUGUAAGCUCUCUAAGGCUACUACAUGCCCUGCAUCCUAUCACCUCCUUGGACCCCGUUAUCAACUCGAAUGUGGGCCAGCUGUGGAUGAAGGAGAUCCCCCAGAUGUUGCAGAUACUGGAUGAUCACACUGAGGAGAACCUGGAUCAGGAGGAGUGGGAGGACAGGCUGCUUCAGGCUUUUCUAUAUAAAUUCUUCGGAUUUACCCUGCGGACCUCAAGGAAUAUGAAACUGGUGAAGAUGAUGCUCUCCUCCAUCCUACAAGCUAUCCAUGAAGACCUGCAGGAGAGGGAGAAUUAACAGCUAAGAAGCUAAACAUGAGUCAAAUACCUGAGGAUGAUGUGGAGCUGUUACAGAAUGCUAUUGGAAGUCUGAGGAACAAUCCUGUGGAGUCUAUCCAGGCUUUGGUCAAUACUACUCUGAAAAAAAUUGAUGAAUAUGUUAACCCUGGGUCUGUCUGUACUUCCAGGCUGAGCCAGCUGAGCAAUAACAUCUUCAAAGUCACUGGCAUGAAAACCCCCAAAAGAAAGAAACGACUGUUUAAGAGUGUCAAAUGGGAAAGAGAUGAUAAUGAUGACAGUCAGAAAGAGAAAAUCUGGAAGUGGCUUCAAAGCCCUCUAAAUUCAUUGUGCAACUGGUCCAAUAGGAGGGUGAAAAAUGCUCCACUCGUAGUAGGCAAUUCAGAGAAACAGUCAAUACGGUCACAGGUCCCGACAUCUGAAAGUCCACCUGUAGAAGCUGGGCCUGCCACCAAAUAAGUUGCUCCUAAUUGCUCUGGGACUAAAGCCUUUUCCAUUUGUUUGUCCAGAUGUCAGUACUUUGCUUCCCAGUAGCUCUCCUACCAUAGUCCAACUGGAUGGGCUACUUUGGAUUACACCCAAGGAGGCAUUUUUGAUCUUAGAAGACACAGUAUGUUUCUGGUCCUUUCUCUCCCUAGGGGAUUGUUGGCUAUCAGCAUAUGCAUUUGUCAAUAAAACUUAUUUUCUCAUCCUAA